UAUUCUGUGGCUCAGUUGGUUAAAGCGCCGGUUUAGCGAAUACGAAGUUAUAGGUUCAAAUCCUAUCAGAAAAA
rnacentral:tRNA from 1 species